rnacentral:lncRNA from 1 species
CGAGUUCGUGGCUUCUUCUUUAUUUUAAGAAUUAUUUCCGCAAGAGGUAACCCUCUAUCUUUCUUUGAAUAAUGUAAUAUCGCAAUAAUGUGAAAUUCAAAUAUUAUGAUGUGGAGAUGCUCUUAGUUUACAUUUGUUAUUAUGAUGUUAAAGCAUUCAACUCUUUGUCAUGGUUAAAUUUGGAGUGAGAUUUGAUAUA